rnacentral:rRNA from 1 species
UACAGAGGGGGCAAGCGUUGUUCGGAAUUACUGGGCGUAAAGGGCGCGUAGGCGGCCUGCUAAGUCGAACGUGAAAUCCCCGGGCUCAACCCGGGAACUGCGUCCGAUACUGGCAGGCUAGAGUUCGGUAGGGGAGACUGGAAUUCCUGGUGUAGCGGUGAAAUGCGCAGAUAUCAGGAGGAACACCGAUGGCGAAGGCAGCUCGCUGGGACGGUACUGACGCUGAGACGCGAAAGCGUGGGGAGCAAACAGG